CUCUGGUGUACAAUGCUCUCUGGUAAAACACAGUCACACUUUACACCGUUUAGCUGUCAGCAGCAUUUUAACCGUGUUUACUCCAGCUGCUAGCUAAGGGUAGGCUUACCUGCUGCUAGGUGUAGUGUUGACUAGCCUCCCAUACGGCGAUGCUUCAGUUCCCUCUAAUGUCCAUUUUUGGAGCAUCAGAGAGAAGCAAAGGCGU